GUGGGGAAUCUUAGACAAUGGGCGCAAGCCUGAUCUAGCCAUGCCGCGUGAGCGAUGAAGGCCUUAGGGUUGUAAAGCUCUUUCGUGGGGGAAGAUAAUGACUGUACCCCAAGAAGAAGCCCCGGCUAACUCCGUGCCAGCAGCCGCGGUAAUACGGAGGGGGCUAGCGUUGUUCGGAAUUACUGGGCGUAACGCGCACGUAGGCGGACUGGAAAGUCAGGGGUGAAAUCCCGGGGCUCAACCCCGGAACUGCCGUUGAAACUCCCAGUCUUGAGUUCGAGAGAGGUGAGUGGAAUUCCGAGUGUAGAGGUGAAAUUCGUAGAUAUUCGGAGGAACACCAGUGGCGAAGGCGGCUCACUGGCUCGAUACUGACGCUGAGGUGCGAAAGCGUGGGGAGCAAACAGGAUUAGAUACCCCGGUAGUCC
rnacentral:rRNA from 1 species